ACAAAGGCUCUUUUCAGAGCCACCCACGUUGUCAGCAAAAGAGCUU
rfam:Chaetura pelagica isolate M959 contig50907, whole genome shotgun sequence.